UUCCAGCGAGGCUUGCAGUAACUGACUUGUGAAGCUGGCAAGGUUUGCUAAAAACCCUCCUCACCCACAGUUGGAAAGCACCAAAGAAAGCUUAGCCGAGGGUCAUGAGAAGGCACGGUGAUAGCACAGCAAGAUAAAGAAAAAGUGUCCUUUUCCCGUAGCUGAAGCCAUUGUGGCAACCCUCUCCUCUACCACCAUCCCCACUUCCAGCUGUACAUUACACUCCCCCCCUCC
rnacentral:lncRNA from 1 species